CCUACGGGGGGCAGCAGUGAGGAAUAUUGGUCAAUGGGCGCAAGCCUGAACCAGCCAAGUCGCGUGAAGGAUGAAUGCCCUACGGAUUGUAAACCUCUUUUAUAAGGGAAUAAAGUGCGGCACGUGUCCCUUUUUGUAUGUACCUUAUGAAUAAGGAUCGGCUAACUCCGUGCCAGCAGCCGCGGUAAUACGGAGGGUCCGAGCGUUAAUCGGAUUUAUUGGGGUUAAAGGGCUCGUAGGCGGUAUGUGAAGUCAAGUGUGAAAGCUCGGGGCUCAACCUUAAAAUUGAAUUUGAUACUGGCAAACUUGAGUGUGUGAGAGGUAGGCGGAAUUCGAGGUGUAGGGGUGAAAUGCUUAGAUAGCACGAAGAACAACGGUGGCGAAGGCAGCUAACU
rnacentral:rRNA from 1 species